GAUGAAGAACGUAGCGAAAUGCGAUAAGUAAUGUGAAUUGCAGAAUUCAGUGAAUCAUCGAGUCUUUGAACGCACAUUGCGCCCCCUGGUAUUCCGGGGGGCAUGCCUGUCCGAGCGUCAUUGCUGCCCUCAAGCACGGCUUGUGUGUUGGGCCCCGCCCCCCGGCUCCCGGGGGGCGGGCCCGAAAGGCAGCGGCGGCACCGCGUCCGGUCCUCGAGCGUAUGGGGCUUCGUCACCCGCUCCGUAGGCCCGGCCGGCGCCCGCCGGCGACCCCCCUCAAUCUUUUCAGGUUGACCUCGGAUCAGGUAGGGAUACCCGCUGAACUUAAGCAUAUCAAUAAGCGGAGG
rnacentral:misc_RNA from 1 species